AACCUUCCACUCGGAUCGUUCGGCACGUACCUGCCGAUGAAAGGAAACA
rnacentral:ncRNA from 1 species